rnacentral:rRNA from 1 species
UACGUAGGUGGCAAGCGUUGUCCGGAAUUAUUGGGCGUAAAGCGCGCGCAGGUGGUUUCUUAAGUCUGAUGUGAAAUCUUGCGGCUCAACCGCAAGCGGGCAUUGGAAACUGGGAGGCUUGAGUACAGAAGAGGAGAGUGGAAUUCCACGUGUAGCGGUGAAAUGCGUAGAUAUGUGGAGGAACACCAGUGGCGAAGGCGACUCUCUGGUCUGUAACUGACGCUGAGGCGCGAAAGCGUGGGGAGCAAACAGG